rnacentral:rRNA from 1 species
CGAUAGCGGAAGGGUCAUACCCGUUCCCAUUCCGAACACGGAAGUCAAGCCUUCUUGCGCCGAUGGUACUGCAGCGGCAACGCUGUGGGAGAGUAGGUAACUGCCGGCC